UACAGAGGGGGCGAGCGUUGUUCGGAAUUACUGGGCGUAAAGGGCGCGUAGGCGGCCCUCUAAGUCAGACGUGAAAUCCCUCAGCUUAACUGGGGAACUGCGUCUGAUACUGGAUGGCUUGAGUUUGGGAGAGGGAUGCGGAAUUCCAGGUGUAGCGGUGAAAUGCGUAGAUAUCCGGAGGAACACCGGUGGCGAAGGCGGCAUCCUGGACCAACACUGACACUGAGGAGCGAAAGCCAGGGGAGCAAACAGG
rnacentral:rRNA from 1 species